AUUUGUCUCAAAGAUUAAGCCAUGCAUGUCUAAGUAUAAACAUCUUUAUACUGUGAAACUGCGUACAGCUCAUUAUAUCAGUAAUAGUUUAUUUGAUAGUACCUUACUACAUGGAUAACCGUGGUAAUUCUAGAGCUAAUACAUGCUGAAAAUCCCGACUUCGGAAGGGAUGUAUUUAUUAGAUACAAAACCAAUGCCCUUCGGGGCUCUCUUGGUGAUUCAUGAUAACUUCUCGAAUCGCACGGCCCCGCGCCGGCGAUGGUUCAUUCAAAUUUCUUCCCUAUCAACUUUCGAUGCUACGGUAUUGUCCUAGCAUGGUUGCAACGGGUGACGGAGGGUUAGGGCUCGACCCCGGAGAAGGAGCCUGAGAAACGGCUACUACAUCCAAGGAAGGCAGCAGGCGCGCAAAUUACCCAAUCCCGAUACGGGGAGGUAGUGACGAUAAAUACCGAUACAGGGCUCUUUUGGGUCCUGUAAUUGGAAUGAGUACAAUUCAAAUCCCUUAACGAGGAACAAUUGGAGGGCAAGUCUGGUGCCAGCAGCCAAUC
rnacentral:rRNA from 1 species